UGCCUACGGGACGCAGCAGUGGGGAAUAUUGCACAAUGGGGGAAACCCUGAUGCAGCGACGCCGCAUGAAGGAAGAAGUAUUUCGGUAUGUAAACUUCUAUCAGCAGGGAAGAAAGUGACGGUACCUGACUAAGAAGCCCCGGCUAACUACGUGCCAGCAGCCGCGGUAAUACGUAGGGGGCAAGCGUUAUCCGGAUUUACUGGGUGUAAAGGGGGCGCAGACGGCAGCGCAAGCCAGGAGUGAAAGCCCGGGGCCCAACCCCGGGACUGCUCUUGGAACUGCGCGGCUGGAGUGCAGGAGGGGG
rnacentral:rRNA from 1 species